UAAUACAUGCAAGUCGAGCGAAUCAAUAGGAGCUUGCUCCUGUUGGUUAGCGGCGGACGGGUGAGUAACACGUGGGCAACCUGCCUGUAAGACUGGGAUAACACCGGGAAACCGGUGCUAAUACCGGAUAAUCCUUUUCCUCUCAUGAGGAAAAGCUGAAAGUCGGUUUCGGCUGACACUUACAGAUGGGCCCGCGGCGCAUUAGCUAGUUGGUGAGGUAACGGCUCACCAAGGCGACGAUGCGUAGCCGACCUGAGAGGGUGAUCGGCCACACUGGGACUGAGACACGGCCCAGACUCCUACGGGAGGCAGCAGUAGGGAAUCUUCCACAAUGGACGAAAGUCUGAUGGAGCAACGCCGCGUGAGCGAUGAAGGCCUUCGGGUCGUAAAGCUCUGUUGUUAGGGAAGAACAAGUACCGGAGUAACUGCCGUACCU
rnacentral:rRNA from 2 species